GCCGCGGCGACCGGGGCCCGCGGGGCGGGCGCGUGCCUGCGUCACGUGCCCGGCGCCCUGGGCCCCGAGGCCCCCGGUGACCAUGGCAUUUCAGGGCCGGGGACCUGGGGUGUGCGGUGGGGCCGCCCCCUCUCCGGCCCGGCGCGGAAGUGGGAGCCACCCCGUCCCCCACCGGCGCGGCCUCGCUUCGCCGCCGCAGUUCAGGAGCCACGUGGAAGCCGCGGGACCUGAGCGCAAAGCGCGAGGCCGCCGUCACAGACGGCGUGCAAAUGGGGAGCCCUGGAAGACCACAGGCCGAGUUUGUUGUCCUGACUGCACAGCCGGAUCCCGCUCCCGAUUCGCCCCCCACGCUCCCCGUCGGAGUGGAGCUGAGGAAAGACUGGCGAAAUGUUUGAAAGCAGCCCCCAGAUCAGCUGCUCCCAUUCCACUGCCUGCAGCAUCCUGGCACUCGCUUGGGGGACACCCGAGAGUCAUCGAUCAAUAGGCCCUCGUCCCAGGGGAUAAGGCCGGCCAGCUGCCAGGGAGCCGCAUUCUAGCAAAGGCGGUUAUCCGGUGGAGCCCGUUGUGGACGAGCCAGCUUGAUGGAGAAAUGGCUUUGCAGAUCCCAGCUUAAUUAAAGCAGUGUGACCAGCGUCCCUACUGAAGCCGCUCAUCUGCAGUGACAAGGCCGGCGUGGUCCACGGAUGUGGUUUUCUCGUCACCCUUCUCCCUCCGACAUGGCCCCACGGUGGUCGUGUCGCUUCUCUGCUGCAGGAGGCAGGCUGGGAUGCAGCGCCCUUCACGGCACUGGAGGCAGAGAUGUGGUGUGAGUCACG